rnacentral:lncRNA from 1 species
CUGGGGGAUGCCCUGGGCCCGGUGAGCGAGCAGGAACCAGGGGAGGAGCACAGGAGCAGGAGCCAAAAAGGAGAAAGGGGUUGGCAUCCUGCGUGGAGACCCUGGAGGUGGGCAGGAGGGGUCUGGGCCCAUUCCUACUCCCCGGGGAGAGCAGGCAGGAUCUGCCGAGCAGUGGGCUGUGGGCCGCUCACCCCAUGGACUUCAGAUUCUGAGGUGAGCACCUGGAAGGAAGGCAGUUCCACACCCUGAGGCGCGAGCUCCCGCAGAUGGAGAGAGCCCUGCAACGCAGGCGCCCUCUUGUGGGCUAUGUUGCUGGCUGUGAUCUGUGGCCAGUGGUGACCAAGGUGAACGUCUUCAACUUCAUCAUUACAUCACUGAGCGGUGCCCGUGCUGGGUACUGACGUUCCUCAUCUCAAUGUUGACUUCUCCACCAGGCCCUCUCCUGGUGCCUCCAUUUUGGACAUCCUGGGGAAAGAAGGCAAAUGGACAAAUUGGGACCCAGGUCCAGGGACUCCCUAGACCCUGACGUGGCAGUGGCUCCCAGAAGCACCAGCCCAGGAGAGCACCAGGGGGCACUGUGGGCUCUGUCCUGUCCAGGAUGCCGUCUUGCGCUUCCAUCUGUGUUUUUCUACAUUGUACAGACUUUUCAUAAAAGUUCAGCCAAUUCAAAGAAGCCAAGGUCCCCUCCCUGGAAGGAAUCCUGUCUGUGUUGGGGGAUCCCGGAGGACCCCAUUCAGGAGCAGUCUGGCCUUCUGAGGCCUACUCAAGCACCGCUGUCUCGUGGGCACCAAUACUGUCCACUUCUUCCUCUCAAAAUCAGCAACUGGCACGCGCCUCCCAGCAACAGCUGUGCACAUUUGCUCAGGGAGAGAGCAACCCAUGAAAACCCGAAUAUGCAGAAAACCUUCCAGAGGCUGCUCAAAGGAGGCAGAGCUGCGCUUCUGUAGGGUCAGAAUUUCUAGAGCUCUGCAGCACAAAGAUGCUGCUUAACAAAACUGUUUGUGCACUGGAAAUUUGCUGAGAGAAUGGAUUUCAGGUGCUUGUACCAGAAAAAGAAAAGAAAAAGGCGAUUUGGGAGGUGAUGGAUUUGUUAAUUUACUAGCCUGUGAUAAUCAUUUCACCCUGAAUAUGCAAAUGUUAUGCAUACCUUAAAUGUGUACAAUUUUUAAAAAAGAGUUGGAAGCCAGCACAGUGGUGUGCCCCGUCAUCCCAGCAGCUCUGGAGGCUGAGGCAGGAGGAUCACAAGUUCAAAGCCAGCCUCAGCAAAAGCGAGGUGCUAAGCAACUCAGGGAGACCCUGUCUCUAAAUAAAAUACAAAAUAGGGCUGGGGAUGUGGCUCAGUGGUCGAGUGCCCCUGAGUUCAAUCCUCAAUACAAAAAAAAAAAAGAGUUGGAAGCCAAAAAUAAAAUAUAAAACUAAAUGAAAACAUUCAUAGUUAAUAUUUGAAAAGCUAAAGGCUCUGUGGAGCAACAGAACUGUGGGCACUGGGAAUGAGCACACUUUAAGACUUUUCAAAGCUGAGCCCUGCAGUAGAACUUCAUUCUUGUCUUGAUCUGCACCUCCCUGCUCGCCUGCGGGUUGGUCGUCUUCUCAGCCACUUGUUGGAUAUUUGUCUGCUUGUUAAAGUGACAAAUAUUAAUGGUCACCAUCUGACCAUUAAUACUUCUUCUGGUGUUUUUUGCCUCACUGAGGUUUUCCAUUUUAAAACAACGAAAUCACUGGGGGAGGUGACACCUGAAAUCCCAGCUGCUUAGGAAGCUGAGGCUGGAGGAUCACGAGUUCAAGGCCAGCCUCAGCAACUUAGCAGGACCCUUUCCCAAAUUAAAAAGUCUUAAAAGGAGUGGAGGCCGGGGCCUGGGCAGCAGCUCAGAGCUUCAGCGCUUGCCUCGCACGAGGCCCUGGCUCCCACCCCAGCACACACAUUUAUUCUUUCUGUCUUCAUUUGAAAGGGCACCUCUGCCUCAGGGAUUUAUAUCUUCAAC